GGACGGGUGAGUAAUGUCUGGGGAUCUGCCCGAUGGAGGGGGAUAACUACUGGAAACGGUAGCUAAUACCGCAUAACGUCGCAAGACCAAAGUGGGGGACCUCAGGGCCUCACACCAUCGGAUGAACCCAGAUGGGAUUAGCUAGUAGGCGGGGUAAGAGCCCACCUAGGCGACGAUCUCUAGCUGGUCUGAGAGGAUGACCAGCCACACUGGAACUGAGACACGGUCCAGACUCCUACGGGAGGCAGCAGUGGGGAAUAUUGCACAAUGGGGGAAACCCUGAUGCAGCCAUGCCGCGUGUAUGAAGAAGGCCUUCGGGUUGUAAAGUACUUUCAGCGGGGAGGAAGGCAGUGAAGUUAAUACGUUCGCUGAUUGACGUUACCCGCAGAAGAAGCACCGGCUAACUCCGUGCCAGCAGCCGCGGUAAUACGGAGGGUGCAAGCGUUAAUCGGAAUGACUGGGCGUAAAGCGCACGCAGGCGGUUUGUUAAGUCAGAUGUGAAAUCCCCGAGCUUAACUUGGGAACUGCAUUUGAAACUGGCAGGCUAGAGUCUUGUAGAGGGGGGUAGAAUUCCAGGUGUAGCGGUGAAAUGCGUAGAGAUCUGGAGGAAUACCGGUGGCGAAGGCGGCCCCCUGGACAAAGACUGACGCUCAGGUGCGAAAGCGUGGGG
rnacentral:rRNA from 1 species